rnacentral:rRNA from 1 species
CCUACGGGGUGCAGCAGUGAGGAAUAUUGGUCAAUGGACGAGAGUCUGAACCAGCCAAGUAGCGUGAAGGAUGACUGCCCUAUGGGUUGUAAACUUCUUUUAUAUGGGAAUAAAAUGUUCCACGUGUGGGAUUUUGUAUGUACCAUAUGAAUAAGGAUCGGCUAACUCCGUGCCAGCAGCCGCGGUAAUACGGAGGAUCCGAGCGUUAUCCGGAUUUAUUGGGUUUAAAGGGAGCGUAGGUGGAUUGUUAAGUCAGUUGUGAAAGUUUGCGGCUCAACCGUAAAAUUGCAGUUGAUACUGGCAGUCUUGAGUACAGUAGAGGUAGGCGGAAUUCGUGGUGUAGCGGUGAAAUGCUUAGAUAUCACGAAGAACUCCGAUUGCGAAGGCAGUUCACUGGACUGCAACUGACACUGAGGCUCGAAAGUGUGGGUAUCAAACAGGAUUAGAUACCCGGGUAGUC